rfam:Strongylocentrotus purpuratus Contig135933_fixed, whole genome shotgun sequence.
AAUAAGGCUUUUAUUAAAGCCAACUUAUUAUCAGAAAAAACUUCCCU